rnacentral:lncRNA from 1 species
GUAAUGAGAAGAGAUUUUCCUCUAAGAAAAUUAACAAUGCCAAUGCCAUCAUCAUGCCUGUCCACCAGAGUAGAUGAACCACAGCCAUAUGGUACCAAAUCCUUGACUUCAAUAUCUGCUGUAGCCUGGGUAUUCCCAUUUGGGGUUGAAACUACAUUGCCAGAUUCCAUUAUGCCCCUUCCAUGAUCUGUGCUAAUCACCGUUGAUUUUUCAAUCAAAACAGAAGACAUACCACUUGAUUUUAUUGCAUGAGGACCACCACCACCUUGGUGGCAAUACACUAGUUUCUGCUUAUUCUUCCAUAAUUGUAUUUUUCUAUCGGUCGCUUUUACAACCCAUUUUGAUGCUACAGAGAUGGAAUUCAGAGACAAAGCAUCCAUUAUUGCAGACGACGGGAAUGAAAAGAUAAAGAAAUGCAAAACAGCCUAAUGCUUUGACGUGAAAAGUCAGCUACUUUUUUUGAUAGAAAGAAAGAAAAGGCAAUUAAGAAAUAAGUAGUUUGAUUAAGAUACGAGUUUGGUUUGAUUUAAGAGGCAGGAAAAGAGUGAGAGUGAGAAUAAAAAGAUUGUUGGAUUGAGGUUUUAAAGGUUGUAGGAAAUGAGAAUUAGGAGAAUAAUAAAAAGGCUCUCUUUUUGCCACCCUGCACUCACUUACUUGCCAACGGCUAAAUUG